CUUGCUAUCAACUAAGAGAUGGUCCCGCGGUGUAUUAGUUAGUUGGUGAGGUAAUGGCUCACCAAGACAAUGAUACAUAGCCGAGUUGAGAGACUGACCGGCCACAAUGGGACUGAGACACGGCCCAUACUCCGUACGGGAGGCAGCAGUAGGAAUCUUCCACAAUGGACGAAAGUCUGAUGGAGCAACGCCGCGUGUGUGAUGAAGGGUUUCGGCUCGUAAAACACUGUUGUAAGAGAAGAAUGACAUUGAGAGUAACUGUUCAAUGUGUGACGGUAUCUUACCAGAAAGGAACGGCUAAAUACGUG
rnacentral:rRNA from 1 species